GUGGGUAUAGGUCAGUUGGUUAGAGCGUCAUAUUGUGGCUCUGGAGGUUGUGAGUUCGACUCUGAUGAUCCACCCCA
rnacentral:tRNA from 1 species